rnacentral:rRNA from 1 species
GAGGGAAACCGAGUCUUAAUUGGGCGUUAAGUUGCAGGGUAUAGACCCGAAACCCGGUGAUCUAGCCAUGGGCAGGUUGAAGGUUGGGUAACACUAACUGGAGGACCGAACCGACUAAUGUUGAAAAAUUAGCGGAUGACCUGUGGCUGGGGGUGAAAGGCCAAUCAAACCGGGAGAUAGCUGGUUCUCCCCGAAAGCUAUUUAGGUAGCGCCUCGUGAAUUCAUCUCCGGGGGUAGAGCACUGUUUCGGCUAGGGGGCCAUCCCGGCUUACCAACCCGAUGCAAACUGCGAAUACCGGAGAAUGUUAUCACGGGAGACACACGGCGGGUGCUAACGUCCGUCGUGAAGAGGGAAACAACCCAGACCGCCAGCUAAGGUCCCAAAGUCAUGGUUAAGUGGGAAACGAUGUGGGAAGGCCCAGACAGCCAGGAUGUUGGCUUAGAAGCAGCCAUCAUUUAAAGAAAGCGUAAUAGCUCACUGGUCGAGUCGGCCUGCGCGGAAGAUGUAACGGGGCUAAACCAUGCACCGAAGCUGCGGCAGCGACGCUGAUGCGUUGUUGGGUAGGGGAGCGUUCUGUAAGCCUGCGAAGGUGUGUCGUGAGGCAUGCUGGAGGUAUCAGAAGUGCGAAUGCUGACAUAAGUAACGAUAAAGCGGGUGAAAAGCCCGCUCGCCGGAAGACCAAGGGUUCCUGUCCAACGUUAAUCGGGGCAGGGUGAGUCGACCCCUAAGGCGAGGCCGAAAGGCGUAGUCGAUGGGAAACGGGUUAAUAUUCCCGUACUUGGUGUUACUGCGAAGGGGGGACGGAGAAGGCUAUGUUGGCCGGGCGACGGUUGUCCCGGUUUAAGCGUGUAGGUGUGUGUUCCAGGUAAAUCCGGUUCACUUUAACACUGAGGCGUGAUGACGAGGCACUACGGUGCUGAAGCAACAAAUGCCCUGCUUCCAGGAAAAGCCUCUAAGCAUCAGGUAACAUCAAAUCGUACCCCAAACCGACACAGGUGGUCAGGUAGAGAAUACCAAGGCGCUUGAGAGAACUCGGGUGAAGGAACUAGGCAAAAUGGUGCCGUAACUUCGGGAGAAGGCACGCUGACACGUAGGUGAAGUGAUUUACUCAUGGAGCUGAAGUCAGUCGAAGAUACCAGCUGGCUGCAACUGUUUAUUAAAAACACAGCACUGUGCAAACACGAAAGUGGACGUAUACGGUGUGACGCCUGCCCGGUGCCGGAAGGUUAAUUGAUGGGGUCAGCGCAAGCGAAGCUCCUGAUCGAAGCCCCGGUAAACGGCGGCCGUAACUAUAACGGUCCUAAGGUAGCGAAAUUCCUUGUCGGGUAAGUUCCGACCUGCACGAAUGGCGUAAUGAUGGCCAGGCUGUCUCCACCCGAGACUCAGUGAAAUUGAACUCGCUGUGAAGAUGCAGUGUACCCGCGGCAAGACGGAAAGACCCCGUGAACCUUUACUAUAGCUUGACACUGAACAUUGAGCCUUGAUGUGUAGGAUAGGUGGGAGGCUUUGAAGUGUGGACGCCAGUCUGCAUGGAGCCGGCCUUGAAAUACCACCCUUUAAUGUUUGAUGUUCUAACGUGGACCCGUGAUCCGGGUUGCGGACAGUGUCUGGUGGGUAGUUUGACUGGGGCGGUCUCCUCCUAAAGAGUAACGGAGGAGCACGAAGGUUGGCUAAUCCUGGUCGGACAUCAGGAGGUUAGUGCAAUGGCAUAAGCCAGCUUGACUGCGAGCGUGACGGCGCGAGCAGGUGCGAAAGCAGGUCAUAGUGAUCCGGUGGUUCUGAAUGGAAGGGCCAUCGCUCAACGGAUAAAAGGUACUCCGGGGAUAACAGGCUGAUACCGCCCAAGAGUUCAUAUCGACGGCGGUGUUUGGCACCUCGAUGUCGGCUCAUCACAUCCUGGGGCUGAAGUAGGUCCCAAGGGUAUGGCUGUUCGCCAUUUAAAGUGGUACGCGAGCUGGGUUUAGAACGUCGUGAGACAGUUCGGUCCCUAUCUGCCGUGGGCGCUGGAGAACUGAGGGGGGCUGCUCCUAGUACGAGAGGACCGGAGUGGACGCAUCACUGGUGUUCGGGUUGUCAUGCCAAUGGCACUGCCCGGUAGCUAAAUGCGGAAGAGAUAAGUGCUGAAAGCAUCUAAGCACGAAACUUGCCCCGAGAUGAGUUCUCCCUGAGACUUAGAGUCUCCUGAAGGAACGUUGAAGACGACGACGUUGAUAGGCCGGGUGUGUAAGCGCAGCGAUGCGUUGAGCUAACCGGUACUAAUGAACCGUGAGGCUUAACCUUACAACGCCGAA